CUGUAGGAACCCCUGCUUCUGUCGAACACCGGCGAAUGUUUUUCUCGUUGCCGUGGGUGGAGUCUGGUGACGGCACAGGCACCUGAGCCUAUUUAAGGCUGGGUGCCGUGGUGGCGGCUGUCCAGAUCGGUCCUGUGGCAGUGGCGGUGGGACGUUUGCGUGAACGGUUGAUUUUCAGAGUUGUUGGUUCCCUUGGAGACUCCUACGGUCGCGAUGGCCCGUGGAAACCAAAGGGAACUUGCCCGUCAGAAAAAUAUGAAGAAAACACAGGAGAUUAGCAAGGGAAAAAGAAAAGAAGAUAGCUUGUCUGCCUCUCAGAGAAAGCAGAGGGAUUCUGAAAUCAUGCAACAAAAGCAGAAGGCUGCUAAUGAGAAGAAAUCUCUGCAGACAGGUGAAAAAUGAUCCAACAGUAAUUUGAAGAACCAGGUGGAUCACAAGAUCUGAAAUCAAGAAUUUGUAGAAUGACCAGCCAUUAAAAAUUAACAAUUUAUCAUAUCCUUAGACUUGUUUACUUCCUACUUACAUUUCUUUUUAAUUCCAUGAUAUAAGCUGCAUGUAUAGAAUAGUUCUUCUAAGAAAAGGAAUUUUAGUGCUUCAUGCUUAUAAAAGUAAUGGAAAUUAAUGACUGACUUAAUAUAUUUAAUAUCUAAAAUUGUAUAAAUAAGUCAUUUGAUACCAGAAUUUAAGUUUCAAAUCUUCAGCCUUUCUGUACUAUACUCAUUAACUUUAUUUAAAGUAAACAUUAAGAUCCAUUAGAACUUUUUACAUUUGGAUUUAUAAAAGCUAAGUUUCCAUGUAAUUUUUAGAGCAUGUUUUGCAUUAAGUAUUAUCUAAAUAUAACACUUCUCAGAUUAGGAAACAAAUGUUUUAACAACAGCAAUCUAAACUAGCAAUUUUAUAUUUCCUUGUAACUUGAAAAAAUUGAGAUUAUACUGAAUACCCUCUUUUAAUUCAGGAUUGAUGUUGCUUAUAAAAAUGUUCUUUUCUGAAAGCAGUAGAUCCCCAAAAGAUAGUAUCUAUCAAUUUACAGUGUAAAUAUACUAGAGGAAGAGAGAAAUGUCAUUUAGUGACAUUUUUGUUCAACUAGACAUGCUCUUCCUUCUCAAUUCCAAUAGAGGAAAAUGAGGUCCAAGAUGCAAGGUUUUUACAACUAAUAAAUAAUUACAAUCUGACUCAA